rnacentral:misc_RNA from 1 species
UGAUGACUGACCGCCCUGACU